GUCACGCCCCAGCAAAGCACACACUCUCCUGUCUCCUCCAGUCUCCACACACACACGCAAUGACUAAGCCUCUUCCCUCCACCAUUCUUCUGAUCUGCGUUUCAGCCAUCGGGAUGGUAGCCGCCGACGUCCCCGUGGCUGGACACCCAGGCUGCCAGACGAGGUGCGGGGACGUCGACAUCCCGUUCCCCUUCGGCAUCGGCGAUCACUGCGCAAUCCACCAUGGCUUCAACAUCAUCUGCAAGCCUGUCAACGGCACCAAGAGGCCUUUCAAGGGGUCGUUUGAGGUGACGAAAAUCUCUGUGCGCGAUGCCAAAGCCUGGAUGAAGAUGCGGAUCUCUUGGUAGUGCUAUGACUCGGCCUCGAGCAAAAUGAAGGAAUGGGUGGAUUUCCAAAACUUCACCUACAUGCCCUUCAGGUUCUCAUACGAGGAUAACAAGAUUUUCAUCAUCGGUUGCAAUACAAUGGCCUACAUGAGAGGUGUUUCCUAUGUCAUAGGUUGCUUGUCCACAUGCUCCGAUCAACCAAAAAAUGGUUCUUGCUCUGGCGCUGGCUGUUGUUCGGUGGAUGUCCCGCCAGACCUGGGUUAUCUUGAGGCUUACUUCAAUAAAGACUAUAACUCCUCAGAAAUCAGCUACAGCAGUUGUGGCUACGUGGUAGUGAUGGAAAAGGCUGUCACCACUUACAUUCCCUCAACAAACUUCUGGGAUGACUACAACGGGACUGUUCCGGCCGUGAUGGACUGGAUAAUUACAUGGGAGACAUGCGAGGAAGCGAAAACGAACAUGAGUUCAUAUGCUUGUGUUAGCAACAAUAGCGAAUGCCUCAAUUCAACGAAUGGGAGAGGUUAUCGCUGCAAGUGCUCCAAGGGGUUCGAUGGCAAUCCUUACGUCAAGGACGGUCUUCUUGGAUGCAGAGAUAUCAAUGAAUGUCUUGAUAACACUACUUAUCCAUGCGCUGGAAUUUGUGAAAAUACAAUCGGGAGUUACAAAUGUUCUUGCCCUCAAGGACAAAAUGAGCUGGCUCGGGGUGUCUGUGUUCCAGAUCAGAAGAUUCAGAAGUCCCAAGCUUGGGUGAUGCCUGUUGUAGGGGCAAGUGUUGGAUUUGUCAUACUUGUGAUCAUGGCAACUUGUUCGUACUUGAUCCGCGAGAGAAGAAAGCUGCAACACAUCAAGCAGAAAUAUUUUAAGCUACACGGUGGUCUACUGCUGUUUCAAGAGAUGAAUUCAAAUGAAAGGAAAUCAUUUACAAUUUUCUCAGAAGCAGAGUUGCAGCAUGCUACAAACAAGUUUGACAAAAACCAAAUUCUUGGCCAUGGUGGUCAUGGCACUGUUUACAAGGGACUUCUCAAGGACAACACUAAAAUAGCUGUCAAGAAAUGCAUGACAAUGGAUGAGCAACACAAGAAAGAAUUUGGUAAAGAAAUGCUAAUCCUAUCCUAAAUAAACCACAUAAACAUUGUUAAACUAUUAGGAUGUUGCCUUGAAGUACAAGUUCCUAUGCUAGUAUAUGAAUUUAUCCCAAAUGGAACGCUAUCCAAUCUCAUCCAUGGCAACCAUGGCCAACACAUUUCUCUAGUUACUCGUCUACGGAUCGCCCAUGAAUCAGCUGAGGCACUAGCCUACCUCCACUCCUACGCUUCACCACCCAUCAUCCAUGGUGAUGUCAAGUCCUCCAACAUCCUCCUCGAUGUUAACUUCAUGGCAAAAGUCUCCGACUUUGGUGCUUCCAUCUUAGCUCCACUAGACAAGUCACAGCUUGUCACGCUAGUCCAAGGGACUUGGGGUUACCUUGAUCCAGAGUAUAUGCAAACAUGUGAAUUAACAGAUAAGAGUGACGUUUACAGCUUUGGAGUUGUUCUUCUAGAACUGCUCACAAGGAAGAACGUUUUCAACCUUGAUGCUCCUGGAAAUGAGAAAAGUUUGUCAAUGAGGUUUCUCUCAGCUAUGAAGGAGAACAAGCUUGAGAAUAUAUUGGACGAUCAAAUUAGCAAUGAAGAGAACAUGGAGUUUCUCGAAGAAGUUGUAGAUUUAGCAAAGCAAUGCUUGGCAAUGUGUGGUGAGGAUAGACCAUCCAUGAAGAAAGUUGCGGAGAAGCUCGAUAGGCUGGUUAAGGUAAUGCAACACCCAUGGACGCAACAAAAUCCUGAAGAGUUGGAGAGCUUGCUUGGAGAAUCUUCUUACAUUAUAAGCUCAGGAGCCUCGAGUACAGGAAAUUUCAGCAUCGAGAAGAAAGUUGUCAAGGACCUAGCAUCAGGGCGUUAAGCUGGAAUCUCUUUGCUACCCAGCAUACAUCAUAUCACCAUAUCAUACCGCGUCAUAUUGUAUCAUAGUUUUCACUUACCCUAGAAAUUCAGACUCAGUUAUGUUCAUUAUUAAAAAAAUUUUGUGUAAAAAUAAAAAAAUAUUGUUUGUGUACACCUUUAGUCUUUAUGGGACUAUGUUUCAUCAUAUAUGAGAAUAAGAAGCAAAUCAUACGAAGUCAAGUUAAUUUUC